rnacentral:rRNA from 1 species
UACGUAGGGUGCGAGCGUUGUCCGGAAUUAUUGGGCGUAAAGAGCUCGUAGGCGGUGUGUCGCGUCGGCCGUGAAAACCUGCAGCUUAACUGUGGGCUUGCGGUCGAUACGGGCAUCACUGGAGUUCGGCAGGGGAGACUGGAAUUCCUGGUGUAGCGGUGAAAUGCGCAGAUAUCAGGAGGAACACCGGUGGCGAAGGCGGGGUCUCUGGGCCGAUACUGACGCUGGAGGAAGCGAAAGCGUGGGGAGCGAACAGG